rnacentral:lncRNA from 1 species
AGACUUGUGAGUCCCUGCUGGAGUCAGAAGUUUUAGGCGAAUCCCAGGCGCGCCAAGGAAAGUGCUACAAAAGCCAUCCAUCUUGCAAGCGUUGGUGCCGAGGCGCAACGCUGAGAACGCAAAUACUAAAGGGCGCUGUUCUUUCCUCGUGGAGCUCACAGUCCGCUGGGGAGACCGUGAGAUGACAGCAGAGAAACUAGCGCGAUCAGUAGUACUCAGCGCAAGGACAGCGAGCAGAGAAGGCAAACCUAGUGCUUGCUAAGGAAGACUUCACAGAGGAGGUAGUGUCAGGGCCGAGACUAGGAGAAGGAUUCUCCAGGCUUCAUACGGUAAAACUCUCUGGGAAGGAAAGGAACUCAGAGUCCCAUGCAGAAAAUUGUUCAGCUGGAGGGGUAUCAGAAAGAUGGAUUUCCAAAGCCAACUGUUUCCUGUAGUGUGUGGAUCUCUGCAAGCAGAGCCUCAUCUUUCAAUUUCAGCUACAUGAAAGAGGAAGAAAGGGAAAGAUAUAUGUCAUACGUGAUAUACUUUAUGUGGCUUUGAAGACCCCUCUUUUGUGGGGCUACGGCUAAAGAACAUAGUUCCCUGGGAUGGAAUUGGCUCUUCCUAUUUCCCUACUUCAUGAAAACUCCAGUAGAAGACCUUAGAACCUUGUCCUGGUUACAUGGAUAUGUUUACUUUGUGAAAAUUCAUCAAGCACUAUGCACGGUCAUGAUUUGUACAUUUUUUUGUAAGAUAACUUCAUUAAAAUUUACUUUUUUUAUUUUUAAAAA